CCGCUGCGGGCCUGAUGGAGGGAGGAGACUGUGGUCCAGAACUGACUGAACGAAUCAAAUCGCUCCACACAACUCAAGGCUCGACUGUCACUCCACCUGCCUCCCUGCAGACGAGUGUAACCUCCUGGUGCAGUGAGAAAGGGGUCUGCAGCGCCACCCGCAGGCUGAAGUCACUCACUCCUGUCACACACAACUACCCUGUAACUAUAAUGUAACAUUAGAAUGCUAUACUCAGUAAAUAUCACCUCUUAGAUUAAAGACCUUACCCUCGAUGUAGGCGUAGAGCCUUUGAGGAGACAGCAGGGGGAAGCGGAUGGGCUCCAGAACUUCCACCAUGUGCUUCUUCCUGUGUGUGAUGUCAUGGAGAAGCCAGCUCAUGGCUGCUGUAAACACCUGGUACUCGUCCUCGAUCCUCAACUCCUCACUGCGCAGCAAGCAUGCAAGCUGAUCCUUCGACAGGCUGGAGAACUCCUCCUCCUCACACACCUAACACUCAGAGUUAUCGGUACAGUCAGGGGGUUAAACUCACACACACACACACACACAGAGUUAAAGGUACAGUCAGGUGUGCUGGAGGCUGGGGCUCACCUGUAGGAAGUGGGCGUGGAUGUAGUUCUGAGUGAACUCUAGGAGCUCGUUGUAGCUGAUCUGUUCCAGGAACUGAUAAAUUCCGACACAGUUACUCGGCUCCAUGUGGCUCCUCAGAAACUCCCCACAGAUAAGCACGAGCUCGCCGAGCUGCAGCAUGUCGGCCGCCAUCGUGAGAUCCUGAACGUUCUCCACCGUCACCUCCACACAGCCUCUCACACACAAAUAAUACACUAAAUAAAUGCCUGUGUCUGUGUGUCUGAAUCAGGUGACUAUUGACGUAGGGACCUGGGGAUCUACCGGUGCAGUAUAUGUCCCAGUGGGUCUACACGUGCCCAUUACUAUUCACUCACCUGUGCACAUUUGUAUCUACCUGUGUAUAUAAACUCCAGAAGACACUCAAACACGUCUGGGUCCACCCCAGCGAUGUGCACUUCCUCCUCACGUGCCUCGCUCAUGGCGGAGUUAAAGAGGGCAGAGAAGUACGGCCCGCUGGCCGCCAGGACCAACCGGUGGACCCGGAACGUCCGACCUCCUACCAGCAGACGCACAUCACACAGCUCUGAGUGCAGACGCAUCUUAUUCAUCUGAGCCAGCAGCAAGUGUGCAUGAUGCUCAGAAGAACGACAAGAACCAUCCUUUAUUCUUGUAGCUCUGAUGUCGCUCACACCCGAGGGUGGGGCUAAGCCUGACUGGCAGGUGGAUGACAUUGUGGUGAUGGGACGACCCUCAAACCCGCCGUUACCUACAAAUGACUUAAAACAGCAGACAUGGUUUCUGUCAUAUAUAUCUGUAUAUGAGGUAAUGAAGGUUCAAAGGUCACAGUGGUAGCAAAGUGAUUCUGCUCUUAUACAUGUCUUUAAUGUAUUAUUAUAUAUUAGAUAUAUAUCUCUGAAUCCUGUCAGCAGCUGGAGAUGAUGACGUCAGUGUGAGAUCCAGAUCAUCAGGUGUAUAAAAUCUCCUCAUAUCAGCAUUUUCCUGUGGAACAGAAGAACACAGCUUAUGUAAACAACACUGCGCAUGCGCAGUAAGGGGCGCAGCUCAUACAGAUGAAACAAACACAAGUAUAAUGCAAACCAUUCCGGAUGUUAUUAAGGUUUUUACUCAGAUUUAUACACAUUAUAAGUGUUGAAUAGAGUGAAAUAAAGUGUAUAUAUAUCCCGCUACAGUGUGCUUCUCUUACCAGCCGUGUUUUGGGUUGUUUAAUGAUUAUUUUCACCGCAGCUCAACACAGCACUUCCGCAUUUCUAUCGAUUUCUCUGUGAUCAACAUUCAGACCUGACGGUCAGAUCGCCGAACUCCGAAAAACCUCGAAAUUUGUGUUUUUAUGUGCUUUUUUUUACAUGCACUUUUAUUUUCUUUACUUAGUGAUAAUCAAUAAAUAAUAAAGAAUAUCACCUUUAAUAUCUAA